UUCUUCAUGUUUAAAAAAAAUCUUUAGCUAACUUUCUAUCUUACUUGACGUUGUAAAUAUGAUGUCUGCUGAAAAUGCAAUAGUAAUUCUGCCUGCCAAACCGUACAAGUGAAUUCACCAAAGUUUCGGGGCUUGAUUCAAAUUUAGUUGGACUCCAAGAAUUAUAUGAACCUACUCACUAGGAUCCUAACAAUUUGCAGGCACCACAUUUCAGGAUUGAUGUCAAACCAAUCCACUGAGUGUGUUGUAAGAACAUCACGACCUUCGGGCUUCCCUCUGAGUCAAAAGGCAAAAAGGAAUAUCUGAGAGGUAUGUACAAAUCUAUGUUGGUGCUGAAGCCUUAAGUGAAGGUGAUGACAGUGUUCAAGAACUUUACUGGUUCAUGUAUUGUCAGAGUGGCUCUUGGUCCAAAGUAAGGAUAUAGAUUUCAGCAGAAAUGGUAAAUGUAAAUACUCAAGUGGACAGACAAGCUCUGCAACAAGAAGCAGGGAAACAACAUUUCAGUUUGAUGGUCAAUGACUGACCUGCAAGAUUAACUCUGCUCUUGUAUCCAGAGGACAUUUGAGUAUCCAGCAGCCUCUGCUUUUAUUUCAGAUGUCAGCUAUCCAGACUGCUUUGCUUUUGUUUCAGUGUAACCCAAAAAAAUGCAUUUUGCAGAUUAAAUAAGUGCUUCAUUCCUUUCAUUUUAAACCUUAAUUCAAAUUAAGAUUUUAAAUUGUUGCCAACAGAAAAGGCAAACUUUCUUCUUCUUCAGCUUUGUUUCAUUGGAUUAUUUUUUUGAAAUUCAUAAUAAUCUUAUAAAGAAAGUUAUUAUAAAUUUAUAUGAACUGUUGGAAUGCAUUUUAAAAUUAAUAACUUUAUUUUAUUAACUUGAGCUGCAAGAGCUUUAAGAACAGUAAGAUACAGAGAUCAGGAACUCUCAUCUCAUGCCAAAAGAACCAACCUACAACUAUUGCUCAAAGACUGAUGAUGAAGACAACUUGUCAUGUAUUUCUCCUUUAUUUUCUAGCCAAUGUUGGAGAAAUAUGACACUUACAUACAAACAUACAUAAAAAUAUCUGCCUUUAGCCAGCUACAAGAUAACAUUGUGGCUCAAGCCCAUUACUAGUUCAUGUCCUGGUAGAGUUGAAUGAACUACUCUAACCAAAUUCUGUACAGAUAUUUCAUGCAAAUGCACAAAGCCACAGCUUUGUUAAGUAUUACUCUUAACGUAAAAAAUUAAGUUUCGCAAAAAGUGAUGCUACCAACCACAAUGAGCUUGAACAGGGUAAAGCAUAAACAAUUUGCAUAAAAGAAAUAAAUAGUGAAAGCUUACAUUUCCAAAUGUCUAAGAGGCUGUAUAGCCAAUGAAUUACUUCUGAAGUGUAGUCACUGUUGUCUAGCUGCCAAUUUAUGUAUAGGAAGCUCCCAGAAGCAGCAAUGCGAUUAUGACCAGAUAACAGAUUUUCUUAGAUACAGUGGAUUCUGGUUAAUUGGUUCAUCAAUUUGCUGGAACAGCUACUUAUUUGGGACAAUGCUUAAAGAAGAAAAACUAAUUGAGAAAAUAGUCAGGAUACCCUUCAAUUAUUUGAGACACGCUGUUGCUUAUUUGUGACAGGAGACUGAUGCCCAACAGUUUCUAACUAGCAUCAAUAGCUUGAACUCAUGUGGCCAUUAGACAAUACACGUGCUCAGUGCAAACAGUUUUUAAAUAGUGUCAAUUGUGUGUGUUUGUGCUCAAAAAGCCGGGGUUUUUGUCACAGAUGGUUGGCAAUAGUAAGCAGUAAGACAAUGUAGAACUGUUUUGCUCUCUGCACUUUCAAGCAUUCAGGCUUGAAGAUGCCAGAAAUGGCUGACAAUGAAAAUGAAACUGGAAGGUGUUGUAACUCCAAAACAUAAAACAAAUCAAAGCAAAAUCACAGAGCCAGGAAUAACAUGUCCUUAGUUGGUUUUUAUUUUAGUAAAGCAUGCACAUACGACGCAGUGGCGUAAUGAUGCAUACCAUUCACAUACUUUUACAUAUAAACCAUAAUGAAUUAUGUAAUGACAAAGAAUGUUAAAUCAAACAAUAUAUUUAUGUUACUCAAGUAUUACUGAAUAUUAAGUACUCACACGUGUUACUAAUUAGCUCAAUAUCAAAUGCAUCUCAAUUUAUAUACACACACAUUUCAUAUAUAUAAAAAUAAAAGUAUGUAUCGCUGUGGAGGAUUUCUUACUCUUGUGGGAUAUUGUCUUUCCUGACAAGCAGGGGCGUCACUGCUUGGCGAGUGAGACUUGUGGCUGUGAAACAAUCUCAGAUUCUGGAGCCUCCUCAAGAAUGGUUACAGCAGUUGACUCUGGGACUGCAGGAAGAGGUUCUGACAGAUCUGGACAUCUUUCUUCUGUAACAAAUUACUCGGCCAGGGCAAUGCAGGCCAUUCCCCAUGGAUGGAGAGGCACUGUUAUUGGCAUCUUCUGGAUGAACUGGCAUCCUAAACAGUGCGUGGGAAGCCGCUCGAUCUGCUGAUCUAUCCCAGGCCAACAGUCAAAGUUUCAAACUUUAAUUUUGACCACACCUAGCUGACGGGCAUGUGGCUCCUCCAAUACUUUAGCUCUCAGCUUAGAUAGUAAAACAAUCCUCAAGUGCCCACAUCAGGCAACCCCCAUCAAGGGCUAGUUCAUCUCUGCAGUGGUAAAAAUGGGGAAACGGGAUUUUCUCCAGCACAUUUCAGCCAUCUGAGUUGCCAUGUAGUCUGGGGUCUUUUCUGGUUUCCCUGUGUAUCAUCUCUACCAUAUUGGGAGACUUUCAAUAUUCAUCCUUCAGCAUCUCCAUGAUUAGCUGUCCUAUUGG